UACGUAGGGUCCGAGCGUUGUCCGGAAUUAUUGGGCGUAAAGGGCUCGUAGGCGGUUCGUCACGUCGGGAGUGAAAACUCGGGGCUUAACCCCGAGCCUGCUUCCGAUACGGGCAGACUAGAGGUAGGCAGGGGAGAGCGGAACUCCUGGUGUAGCGGUGAAAUGCGCAGAUAUCAGGAGGAACACCGGUGGCGAAGGCGGGUCUCUGGGCCAAAACUGACGCUGAGGAGCGAAAGCGUGGGGAGCGAACAGG
rnacentral:rRNA from 1 species